CAGCAGCCGCGGUAAGACAGAGGAUGCAAGCGUUAUCCGGAAUGAUUGGGCGUAAAGCGUCUGUAGGUGGCUUUUCAAGUCCGCCGUCAAAUCCCAGGGCUCAACCCUGGACAGGCGGUGGAAACUACCAAGCUGGAGCACGGUAGGGGCAGAGGGAAUUUCCGGUGGAGCGGCGAAAUGCGUUGAGAUCGGAAAGAACACCAACGGCGAAAGCACUCUGCUGGGCCGACACUGACACUGAGAGACGAAAGCUAGGGGAGCAAAUGGGAUUAGAUACCCCCGUAGUCCCUGUCUCUUAUAC
rnacentral:rRNA from 1 species